GGCAGGUGUGACCAGCUGUGCUUGGGAGUGUCAGGGGCAGCCUUUAUUCGGAAACUAUUUGCCUUGAAGUCAAACCUGGGUAUAGGACUUUCUGAUGAGCACUGAAGAAAUAUUAAUGGAACUUUCCAAACACCAUGUUUCCUUAGCAUCUAUGGCUCUGAGUUCUCAAUCCGAGCUGGACUCCCGUGAGAUGGGAUUCUACUUCAAGCUGGCAAAACAUGGUUUCCUGUGUGUAUAGGAAGGAAGCGCUCUUUUAAGGGCAUCCCAGGCAUCAAACAGAUCCGGUCAAAUUAGAGGCAGAGAUACUGAGGCAGAGAUGCUGAUGAUUUGAUCCUUGACUUGGAGGCCUAAAGGCGUUGGCUGAAGCCAUGAGAAGAGCAGGCUGGAUAAUGGAUGUUACCCUGGGCCUCUGAUGGAGGCUCUUAAGUCCUACAGCAUAUUGCCUCUCUGCUCACUUCCCAUUUGUCUUGUUCCUUGCUUCCAGUAGACAUGUUAGCUAUGGUUAAUUGAGCAUGUCACAUGCGGACUAUCAUCAAGAUGGUACUUGCGUCCAUGACCUCCUUUAACCUCCUUGGAAGGAGACCUUCUCACCUCUGCGAUACAGAGACAAAAGGGCAGUGCAGCGGGAGAAAGUCCACGGACUGGUGGUCUGAUCCUGGGAGUAGAGGAUCUUCUCUCACCCGGGAAGAAGACUGAGGCAGAAAGAUGAGACCUGCAUGCUGCGGCCAUAAAAGUCCUGAGCUGUGAGCUUGUGUCGAUGGGACCACAAGUCUGCCCCCAUCAUUGCGGGCACCUUGCAGCUGCUUCUGGCAACCAGGUUCUAUGACCGCAACGAAGAACAAGGUGGUAACUUGCAUCCUUGUCGAAAAGCGUGACUAAUGUGAAGCUUUUGCAUUUUCCUUUGUUUUGGCACCAGGAUGAAAAUUGACCCCUAAUACAAAGAAAGCCUUGAUGCACUUACUCCCGCAGUUGGAUAGACAGGCCCAAAGUGUCGAAACUUCACAGAAUCCAGCAGAAACAGACCCCUGCUGUUGUUAGAUUUUUUUUCCUUAAAGUGAACAGGGACAGGAGUUUCCAUAGCCCCAGAAUCACCAGGACGGAACAGUUCCAUCGAAUAGACCAUUGCUAUCCUAUCCCAAAACGCCCCUGUGAGUUCUGAUGAGUCCAGUUGCAAAUGCUUCUGGUUUCCCCUGUUCGAUCUUCGAUAUGACCGCCCCUUCCUGCUGGAUGGCUGGGAAGGAAAGACUUCCUUUGGAUUCAAAAUGGCGAUUGAUGCAUGAACAUCUUCCAUAAACACUGGGACUCAGUUGGAGACUCACUCCAAGCUCUUUCUUGCUGUAAUUUUUCUUAGAACCCUGCAUUGUACUCCAUCCUUCCCUUUCCUGAGUUCAUGGAAUCCAUGUUCCCAAUCACAGAAGUAUGAGGGCUGUUGCUUGAAUGAGCUGACAGGUACCUCUUUUCAUGCCAUUAAUGUGGCCCUCUUCUCCACGUGUGAAAUAUCACACUUGUAAACAUUUUACCCACAGGUUUAUUUGAAAGGAGAAGCUGUUUUCAGGAGAAGAAACAGGCCCUGGUUCUGAUUUUCCCCAUGAAUGUUCUGAGUCAGCCAAAAGGAUACCUACACCCAAUGGGCAUCAAGAAUGGGAAAGAAAGGAAUUCCAUAUAAACUUCUGUAAGGCAAAAAACAAAGACGGGUUUUAUCUUCAGUGUGACCACAACUUUCACUUUAAAUAAGUUUUACUUAAAUCACAGCGUUUGAAAUUUACAUCCAGGGUCUGCCAGGCAUUAGGCUCUCUGCUUUUAUAGGAAGAUAGUUCCCUCUUAACUGGCUCACGGGGUACAAAGGGAGGCAUCUGGGUACCAUGUGAGGCAUAGCUUUAAUGUCACCUCUCCCAGGCUGAGAAGUCAGCUCUGCACUCUGGCACGGGUCUUGAUUCCACCUCCUUGGCUACAAGCUAAAGAAACAGUGAUCACAAACUGCUCUCAGUCUGUGUCCUCAAAGAGACUGUGAGCUCUUUGAGGCAGAAGGCUGUAUCUUAUUCAGUUGUAGUCGUUGGUCCUGUCCCCCUUGUCUGCUACAACUGGGGCACAAAGACCAAAAAUGAGAGAGAGAGAGAGAGAGAGAGAGAGAGAGAGGGAAAGAGAGAGAGAGAGGAAGGGGGCAGCAGGAAGGAGCAGGAAGAGAGAAGAGGAGGAGGAGGAUAAGAUAAGGAAGAACAGGAGACAGAGACGAUCCCUACAGAACAUGCUGCUAUAGGGGCUCCUGGGCGGCUCAGUCGGUUAAGCGUCUGACUUCAGCUCAGGUCGUGAUCUCAUAGUUCGUGGGUUCGAGCUUCGUGACAAGCUCUGUGCUGACAGCUCAGAGCUUGGAGCCUGUCUUGGAUUCUGUGUCUCCCUCUCUCUCUCUCUCUCUGCCCCUCCCCUGCUCUCUCUCUCCCCAAAAUAAAUAAUCAAAAAAAAUUAAGAAUAUGCUGCUAUACAGGAUCGGAAGUAAGAAAGGCAUAAAAACAACUCUACUACAAAAUUCCCCAAACCACCAGCAAUGUGCUGUUUCCCUUCUUCAAGCAAAUCUGCUACAGAGGGACAGUAACUGGUGAAGCCAUGAGACCACCCUGCCGUCCUUGUCACUACACAUAUCCUGAGGUCCGAGAGGGCUCAAAGAUCAUCAUCACCUUCUCCACCCCGGGAACUGGGGCAAUGGGAGCUGUGAGCCUGUUACUUCAGGGAGAGAGUGGCAGGGAGAAGUGAUAAUGAUGUAUGAAGUGUAACUGUUCAUUUAUGCUCAUUUAGUGAACAAAUUAGACACUUCACAUAUCUUGUUAAUUUUUGCAACUUAUUCUGAGAGUUGAGAUUGAGAUAUUUUGUUGACAUUUUACAUAGCAUGACCGUAAACAACUCCCAUCAUACCGAGAAACAUUAUUCUGAAUUACGGAGGGUCCUUAACGUUCCCAGAAAGACCUCAGGUACCUAUUCUCAGUUCCCAUGAAGGGUCUUUGUGAAGGAAGGGUGGAUCUGAACUAUCAGAAAUAGAAGAACUAUUUUCAGAGUACAUUCUGUGGGCUGGGCACUAUGCCAAAGGCACUUUUUUUUUUUUUCCUACUCUAGAGCAUUUGACUUGCCCCCAAACCCAAUUUUCACACCCGAGUACCCGGGUCCCAAUUAGAGAUGAGCAAGUGGAGACUAAGUUAUUGUCCAAGAUCAUGCAUUCUGGUGAAGCUGAUAUUUGAAAUGAGAUCUAUCUGCUUUCAAAGCUCAUUCUCUUUCCAUCACAUCAUGCAACUAAAAAUAAAGAACCAACUGGAAUUUAGUUGACAUGUGCUUCUGCAUGACCCAGUAGAGGCGAAGACUGUUCUGGGGACAGGGACUUAGAAAUUCUGCAAGUCCCCACGAUGUCCAUCAUCCUAGAUGAUGGAACGUUACAUGCCUGUGACUUCACCAUUGACAUAGCCAAUACGUACUGUGAGAACCAGCAUUCUCCCAUGUAACAUGAUGGAAACUCGACAUGGGAACCUGGAUUAGAACUGAUCUUGACACAAAGUGAUCCUGAGAUAAAAAUAGCUAUCUCCCCACCCUCUCCGUUUUCCUUUUCCUUCCUCCCCUUUUCUCUUUUGCCUUUCCCUCUCCCCCUCCUCUUCGUUCGUCCCCUCCUUCUUCUUCUGCCUGUAGCCUUUGCUUUUCCCUAUGUUGCUUGCAUUCCUUCCUACAGCUGACUUCCUCCGUUUAUUUGGACAAAUGAGAAACAGAAAUGUCUACAGAAUGCUCCACACUUACGUCAUGCCAGCCUUGCGAUGGCAAAGGUUGGAGACAUUGUCAUUCUUCUGUUAUCAAUACAUGAAAUCCUCUGGAAUUCACUUGAUGGAUCCUUUGGGACCAUAGGCUCGCCCUCUGUACUAAUCUCCGUGAACAAGGCCUAUUACUGGCAGCCCAUGCUGUGGUCUAGUGCAGUGGGAAAAUGUGACUUGUCAUCCCCAUCAGAGCCAUAUGGAAUAGAAGAAUGGUUAUUUCUCGGGAGGGAGGGUAGGCUAUUACCACAAAAAGGGAUGAAGAGAUUACAAGCAGAAAGUGAUUGACAAAUGUCCACAAAGAUUCAUUUUGACCUAACCUCACUCAAAUUCCCAGAAGCAUGGUCUUUCUCUCCUUCCUUGAUGUCCCAAAUUUGUAGCUCUCUUCCAGAUUUGGAGUUAGUCCUUAUAAUUUAUUUUAAUAUCAUCAUCUUAUA